rnacentral:lncRNA from 1 species
CCCGGGGACUUGCGGGGAGGGACGAAGGGGCUGGCACGAGCCAGCCCGCCCCCCCCGCCUGGGUCACGUGUCGGGGUCAGAUGGGGCGGGGAGCUGCACAGGGUCCGCGUCGCCCCCACCGUGGUCCGGCUGGGCCGUGGUCUGGCUGGGCCGUGGCCUGCGUCUGGUUGUGCACCCGGGUCACUCGCCCUUAGACUCCGAGGGGGCCACACCGGCCGGUUGGAGCUUCCCGCUGGCCGCUGCCUGAGGGCAGCGGUUGCCUUGGAAUCGGCCCUGGCAGUGCCCGGCCGGCCUCCGUCUCCCCACGGCGUCCCACAGGUGAAGAGAAAGGAGAGCACCCCACCCCCGGGAAGCAGAGGCCAGCCUGGGGCUUGGCUGGAGUGAGCAGGCAGGGAGCGAGUCCUGUGGGCACAGCUUCCCUGUGUCACUGUGCUUUGGGGUGGCGUGGCUGGCUCUGCAGCUGGGCGGGACUCGGGUCACACUGGCUGUCACCCCGCCUGUCACCCGGGCUUUCGCCAGCACCACAGGGCUGUGGGGCCAGUGGCAGCCCGGCCAGGGACUGCUCUCCCUGUGUCGCUCCUCUUCCUCCUCUCCUGCAAGUGGGCCACGGAGCUCCGUCCCGCCCGCAAGCUUCUGUUUCAUCUUUCCCUUCUUUCCUCGACGGGAGCUUCUUAGCACGCGCGUGCGGUGCCUGAGGAUCGCGCUCCGCGCGGCCCCGGAGCAGGUGCAGCACCCCGAUGCCUGCUCUGCCUUCCCAAAGCCCUCUCCCCUGCCGUGUGGUCUCUGUCCACAUCCCCUCUGUGUAAGGGAAGCGGCCACGCUGGUCCCCCCGCCCAGGAUCUCAGCCCGAC